rnacentral:lncRNA from 1 species
UGUAUAAAAUUUUCAAAAAUUCAUAUAAAUAUGAAUAAUAUAUAUUUUUUGCCUUGCGGACUUCAUUUAAAUUAAGAAAACUUACAAAAGACACUCCCUUUCCAUUUUUUGUUAUUCUUUGCUAUGAGUUGGAGAAAGAAUAAACAGGAAACUGUUUGCAGAUUUUGCUUUUCUUUUUCUGUACAGUAUGGGGGCUUGGUUUUUUUUAUUCCAUUUUUGUUAUUUAUGAUCUCAAGUUUCUUCAUUUGUCCAAAAAGCUC